rnacentral:rRNA from 1 species
UACGUAGGUGGCAAGCGUUGUCCGGAUUUACUGGGCGUAAAGAGCGCGCAGGCGGUCGUUUAAGUCGAAUGUGAAAGCCCCCGGCUCAACUGGGGAGGGUCAUUCGAUACUGAUCGACUUGAAGGCAGGAGAGGGAAGUGGAAUUCCGGGUGUAGUGGUGAAAUGCGUAGAUAUCCGGAGGAACACCUGUGGCGAAGGCGGCUCUCUGGGACGGUACUGACGCUGAGACGCGGAAAGCCAGG